rnacentral:lncRNA from 1 species
GAUUGGUAGUUAACCUGAGACCAUCCUCGAGCAUCCAUGAUCAAAAGGAUGAAUUAUAUGAUAACUAUGUGUAUGAGUUCUAAAAUAUUUUUUUAUGAUAACUCGACAUAUCUGGAUAUCAGAAACUAUUGCUAGAUGAUAUCUCGAUUAGUAUAAAAAUAGUUCCUGUACUAUCAGCUUAGUGUUUAAACCUAUGGAGUCAUGCACACAAAUCAGAC